UGGGUGGUGGCUCACCUGGUAGAGCACACACAUUACUGUGCAUUAGGACCUGGGUUCAAGUCCCUGCCCCUCAC
rnacentral:tRNA from 1 species